rnacentral:lncRNA from 1 species
UCGUGAAUGAUACAGGUAGAGGAAGGGGAAGAUCCAGAAAACGUGAUGCGGAUAAAGAAAAAAUCUCAUUCUAAGUCAAAGCGAAAAAGGUGAAGUGUUAUUUCUGCAAGAAGAGGACUACGUAAAGAAAAAAAUGCAAGAAGAGAAAGACAUUACUGCAAAAAUAAAAUUCCUCUCUAGAUAUGACGAGAGUAGUCAGCAAUUUUGGUCAGGACAUUUUUGACUGUUACAACAGAUUUAGAAAUUCUCGGUGAUUAAAUAUUAGAUUCGAAUUAUCUUUAUCACGUCUCCAGACAGGUCUUUAUUUGAUACUUACAAGUCUUGUAAAGAUGGUAGUGUUAUGAUGGGUAAUCACUAAAAAUAAAGAUGAUUAAUGGUAUGGUGAGAAGUUAACUGAUAUGAGACAAAUUUCAAGUCUUAAGUUGAAUCUUAUAUUGCUAGGUACUUUUGACUCUACUGGUUGUUCUUGUAGCAUUUCUGGCGGAGUUAUUAAUGUGAAAAGCGGUGUCAUGGUCGUUAUGAAAGGAGAAAAAAAAAAUUCUGUACAAGCUAAUUGGCAAGUCAGUCAGAAAUACUGUAGUAACAUCCUCAGAAAGUCAGAAUUGAUAGUGACUAGAAGCCUUAGGGAGAGGAGUUGAUAAGAAGAGAGAUAAUAGUGACGCACAAAAGAAGUAAAGGUGGAGAAUGCUAAGAUGUGCCUUCUUUUGUGAUUAAAUUAAAGGUUGUAUGAUCAUUGUUAUUUAAUUAGUCCAUAAAACAUCUUGGUUCACAAAAGGGCACCAUGCAUCAAGUUUAUAGGAAUCUAUUAGAAAAGUCAAAGUUGAUUCCUAUUGGUUGAAAUUCUCGUAACAUGUUACAACAGGACUCGGUUUCCAAGCU